rnacentral:rRNA from 1 species
GAUGAACGCUAGCGGGAGGCCUAAUACAUGCAAGUCGAGCGGUAGAGUGACUUCGGUUGCUUGAGAGCGGCGAACGGGUGAGUAACGCGUACACAAUCUACCUUUAAGAGGGGAAUAGCCCUGGGAAACUGGGAUUAAUGCCCCAUGGCAUCACGAGACGGCAUCGUUUUGUGAUUAAAGCUGAGGUGCUUAGAGAUGAGUGUGCGUCUGAUUAGCUAGUUGGUGCGGUAACGGCGCACCAAGGCGACGAUCAGUAGGGGGCGUGAGAGCGUGGACCCCCACACGGGUACUGAGACACGGACCCGACUCCUACGGGAGGCAGCAGUAAGGAAUAUUGGUCAAUGGAGGAAACUCUGAACCAGCCAUCCCGCGUGCAGGAAGAAUGCCCUAUGGGUUGUAAACUGCUUUUAUCUGGGAAGAAAAGUCGGGAUUUAUCCUGAUCUGACGGUACCAGAGGAAUAAGCACCGGCUAACUCCGUGCCAGCAGCCGC